AAAUUGAAGAGUUUGAUCAUGGCUCAGAUUGAACGCUGGCGGCAGGCCUAACACAUGCAAGUCGAACGGUAACAGGAAACAGCUUGCUGUUUCGCUGACGAGUGGCGGACGGGUGAGAAAUGUCUGGGCAACUGCCUGAUGGGGGGGGGUAACUACUGGAAACGGUAGCUAAUACCGCAUAACGUCGCAAGGCCAAAGAGGGGGACCUUAGGGCGUCUUGCCAUCGGAAGAGACCCGAUGGGAUUAGCUAGUAGGAGGGGUAAAGGCGGUCGCUU
rnacentral:rRNA from 1 species